GUUGAUAAACAUUCAGCUCAACAUCAUACCAGCAGUUUGUGUGUAUUUACAGAAACAGUAACCAUUUGAGAUGGAACUAGGCAGAGCUCUGAGUUACUUUGCUCUAGCAACAAUUAUUCAAUAUUCCUGCAGUCAGACACUGAUUGAGUCGGAGUCAGUGGUCAUCAAACCUGAUCAGUCUCAUAAACUGACCUGUACAGCCUCUGGAUUUAACUUUGGUAGCUAUUACAUGGCCUGGAUUAGACAGGCACCUGGAAAAGGGCUGGAAUUUGUUGCAACUAUCUCAGACGGCAGUAGUAGCAAGUAUUACUCCAGUGCAGUUAAUGGCCGCUUCACCAUCUCCAGAGACAACAGUAAGAUGCAGGUGUAUCUGCACAUGACCAGUGUGAGGACAGAAGACACUGCAGUGUAUUACUGUGCCCGUGACCCACAGUGAUACUUCUCCCUAGACAUCAGUACAAAAACACAUGCUUGCUAUAAUCACAUGACAAGCUCACAUUUUCAUAAGGAGUGUAUUCUUGGAGGUAAAAGAACCAAAAAUAUUUUGACUUUUACUGCAUGUGGCUUGUUAUGAAUGAUGUCUGGACUUUUAUGCUAGUGUAAGAUUACUUAAGUCAGUUCUGAAUAUAUGCAAUA